CCUACGGGGGGCAGCAGUUGGGAAUCUUGCACAAUGGGGGAAACCCUGAUGCAGCGACGCCGCGUGGAGGAUGACGGGUCUAGGCCUGUAAACUCCUUUUAUCAGGAAAGACUUAGGACGGUACCUGAUGAAUAAGCCCCGGCUAACUACGUGCCAGCAGCCGCGGUAAGACGUAGGGGGCAAGCGUUGUCCGGAUUUACUGGGCGUAAAGGGCGCGUAGGCGGCCUGUUAAGUGUGAAGUGAAAUCUCCAGAGCUAAAGCCGGAAACUGCGUCGCAUACUGGCAUGGCUUGAGGAAUGCAGAGGUGAAUAGAAUUCCUGGUGUAGCGGUGAAAUGCGUAGAUAUCAGGAGGAAUACCCAUGGCGAAGGCAGUUCACUGGGCAUUAUCUGACGCUGAGGCGCGAAAGCGUGGGGAGCAAACAGGAUUAGAUACCCGAGUAGUC
rnacentral:rRNA from 1 species